rnacentral:rRNA from 1 species
UAGGGAAUAUUGGACAAUGGGGGCAACCCUGAUCCAGCCAUGCCGCGUGAGUGAAGAAGGCCCUCGGGUUGUAAAGCUCUUUUGUCCGGAAAGAAAAGCAUUCGGUGAAUACCCGGAUGUUCUGACGGUACCGGAAGAAUAAGCAACGGCUAACUUCGUGCCAGCAGCCGCGGUAAUACGAAGGGUGCAAGCGUUACUCGGAAUUACUGGGCGUAAAGCGUGCGUAGGUGGUUGUUUAAGUCUGAUGUGAAAGCCCAGGGCUCAACCUGGGAAUGGCAUUGUAAACUGGGCCGCUAGAGUGCGGUAGAGGGUAGUGGAAUUCCCGGUGUAGCAGCGAAAUGCGUAGAGAUCGGGAGGAACAUCUGUGGCGAAGGCGACUGCCUGGACCAGCACUGACACUGAGGCACGAAAG